ACCAGACUCCUACGGGAGGCAGCAGUGGGGGAUAUUGCACAAUGGGGGGAACCCUGAUGCAGCGACGCCGCGUGGGUGAAGAAGCGCCUCGGCGCGUAAAGCCCUGUCAGCAGGGAAGAAAAUGACGGUACCUGAAGAAGAAGCCCCGGCUAACUACGUGCCAGCAGCCGCGGUAAUACGUAGGGGGCAAGCGUUAUCCGGAUUUACUGGGUGUAAAGGGGGCGCAGACGGCGAUGCAAGCCAGGGGUGAAAGCCCGGGGCCCAACCCCGGGACUGCCCUUGGAACUGCAUGGCUGGAGUGCGGGAGGGGCAGGCGGAAUUCCUGGUGUAGCGGUGAAAUGCGUAGAUAUCAGGAGGAACACCGGCGGCGAAGGCGGCCUGCUGGACCGUAACUGACGUUGAGGCUCGAAAGCGUGGGGAGCAAACAGGAUUAGAUACCCCUGUACAG
rnacentral:rRNA from 1 species